rnacentral:misc_RNA from 1 species
GUAGUCCAUGUUACCGGGCAUUCCUCCAGGUGCAGCCCCAGGCAUGCCUCCGGGCAUUCCUCCAGGUGCAGACCCAGGCAUACCCCCUGGAAAGCCUCCGGGCAUGCCACCUGGAAAGCCUCCAGGCAUGCCACCAGGAAAACCUCCGGGCAUGCCACCAGGAAAUCCGGGCAUGCCACCAGGAAAGCCUCCGGGCAUGCCACCAGGAAAGCCUCCGGGCAUGCCACCA